ensembl:lncRNA
GAAACGUUUCCAGCUGUUAGUAUCAUGGUUGCUAGGCAACCUGGGCAGCGCGACGGAGGCUAGACCGUCCCAUUUCACAAGCCUACAAGCCUCGCACUUCUGGCCUUAGUGGUCUUUGAGUACGCAGCCCUUGAGGACGGUUAAGGCUGCCUACUUUAAGGCUGCAGACCCUGAAUUGGGAUACAACCAUACAUACAUGUUUUGGUUCGUGCAACUAGUCCGUCGGGUUAUUGUCUCCCCAGAAACAUUUCCAUUGUGUCUUGUGUGCUUUUGCUUUUUGCAGCGUUUUUCUUUUUGCAGCGUUUUUCUUUUUGCAGCGUUUUUCUUUUUGCAGCGUUUUUCUUUUUGCAGGCGUUUUUCUUUUUGCAGCUACUUUCUGAAGUUGCAGUCCGUUUGGCCACUCAGGGCCACCGUACUAUCGGCCCCCUUGGCUAAACUUUGGUAUAUCCGCCCCACAGUUACCAGCCGUCAGCUAUGUAGAAAAAGAUCCUGGUGUAGAAAGUAAUAUUAAAUAAAUUCUAACAACAGCUUAUCAAGCUUAAACGUGCUGCUGUUGUUCAGCCGCCGGUUUCCUCUUUCUGGCGCAAAGUGAGCAAUAAACAAACAAGAGAGACGGACUCGCGACUAGGGGUGGGUACCGGUAUCCGGUGCCAUCAUGGCACCGGUUCUGACAUAAACGGUAGGAACCAGACCGAAAAGUAGCGCACAUUUUGCUUUAUUUCGGUGCUUUUUCCUGAGAUGUCACACACUUUGGAUUCUAGCCAAUCAUUUUACCUUUGCAAGCGUAGUAGGCGGGCCCAGGUACGUACGUUCUUUUAGAGCAGAGCUACAGAUUAAAAAUGCCCAAGGCGAAGCGGUCAAAGUCUGUCUGUACUUCACAGAUGCAGACUCAGCAGCCUGCAACAAGUGCUUUAAGGUGAUACUGUGCAAAGGAGGUAACACCUCGAAUCUGAUGAAACACCUAGCGAUGUAUAGCAUUUUGUUAAAAGCCGAGAAAUGCGCCGUAUUUGAUAGCCUG